rnacentral:tRNA from 1 species
GCCAGGAUGGUGGAAUAGGUAGACACAGGGGACUUAAAAUCCCCCGGCCUCACCGGCUGUACGGGUUCAACUCCCGUUCCUGGCA